rfam:Biomphalaria glabrata isolate BB02 linkage group LG4 unlocalized genomic scaffold LG4_random_Scaffold220, whole genome shotgun sequence.
UGGCUGAGUGGUAAAGCGCUUGGCUUCUGAACCGGGUGUCCCAGGUUCGAAUCCUGA